AGGUUCGGUAAAACAUACACAGAACUGUAUACGUUUAUUGUGAAAAUAAUAAACCGGAAGAGGUGUUGACGCAUUAUUGUUGCUGUCAACAGCACUGAUCGAGACUACGGCGACUUCAGACGCCACAAAGCUCACCCGGUGAUUACAAACAACGUUCACAAUUACGCUUGGUACUUGUUACUUGUUCUGAAGGUGAUGGGAGGCCAGCAUCAGUCCAAAUACCAAACUGAUGCCGCUGUAGCGUGAAGUCUGCAAUUCCACGACUCGUUGAAUUUGUACCGCUAUGUUUGAUGGGAAUCUUUUUAAGUUGAUGUUAAAUGAUGUGCAUUUUAGUCAGUAUGUUAAUACAACAUGUACAAACUAAAGUGUGGUUUUAUUGAUGGACUGUUUUGAUUGCCAUGUUAAGUCAACAUGUUUGAUGAAAUACACUUUGUAACAUGAAUUGUAACAUUUUUGUGCUAUAUAUUGUAAUACGCAUUAAUCUUAUUUUUGAAUAAUUUUCAAUGAAAUCUUUGUAAAUAAAUGGCUGAUG
rnacentral:lncRNA from 1 species